rnacentral:rRNA from 1 species
UACGUAGGGGGCGAGCGUUGUCCGGAAUCAUUGGGCGUAAAGAGCUCGUAGGCGGUUCAGUAAGUCGGCUGUGAAAUUCCGAGGCUCAACCUCGGAACUGCAGUCGAUACUAUUGUGACUAGAGUCCGGUAGAGGAGAAUGGAAUUCCCGGUGUAGCGGUGAAAUGCGCAGAUAUCGGGAGGAACACCAGUAGCGAAGGCGGUUCUCUGGGCCGGUACUGACGCUGAGGCGCGAAAGCUAGGGGAGCAAACAGG